rnacentral:rRNA from 1 species
CCUACGGGAGGCAGCAGUAGGGAAUAUUGCUCAAUGGGGGAAACCCUGAAGCAGCAACGCCGCGUGGAGGAUGAAGGUUUUCGGAUUGUAAACUCCUUUUGUUAGAGAAGAUAAUGACGGUAUCUAACGAAUAAGCAACGGCUAACUCCGUGCCAGCAGCCGCGGUAAUACGGAGGGUGCAAGCGUUACUAGGAAUCACUGGGCGUAAAGCGCGCGUAGACGGGAUAGCAAGUCAGAUGUGAAAUCCUAUGGCUUAACCAUAGAACUGCAUUUGAAACUGUUAUUCUAGAGUAUGGGAGAGGUAGGUGGAAUUCGUGGUGUAGGGGUAAAAUCCGUAGAUAUCAAGAGGAAGACACAUUGCGAAGGCGACCUGCUAGAACAUAACUGACGCUGAUGCGCGAAAGCGUGGGGAGCAAACAGGAUUAGAUACCCUUGUAGUC